rnacentral:rRNA from 1 species
GCCACAGUGGGUAACAGCCCCGUAGCCGAAAAUCGCUUCCCUCCUGAGUGGAUCCUGAGUACGGCGGAACACGUGAAAUUCCGUCGGAAUCCGGGAGGACCAUCUCCCAAGGCUAAAUACUCCCUAGUGACCGAUAGUGAACCAGUACCGUGAGGGAAAGGUGAAAAGUACCCCGGAAGGGGAGUGAAAGAGAACUUGAAACCGUGUGCUUACAAGUAGUCAGAGCCCGUUAAUGGGUGAUGGCGUGCCUUUUGUAGAAUGAACCGGCGAGUUACGAUUGCAUGCAAGGUUAAGG